AGACCACGCCCACCGAUGCCGGCAGCAGCUGGUGCAGCGGAGCUCAGAUCCUCUCUGUGGGGUCUGCACCGGCAAGGGCAGCUGCUCCCUGCCUUUCCUCAGGAGUCAGUGGAGGUAAUAACUUGUUUUCAUAUAAAGAACAAGUUUGUUCAACAGUGAUUUUGCCUGUUGACCAAAGACAGGACUCGUUACCCCUUAGGGCCUUGCUUGGUAAUAUGUGCUUUUGCUUUUUUUAGGUGGGGGUGGGUGGGCAGAGAGGCGCUCACGAAUGUUUUUAAAACUUUUGUAUAAAUUUUCAUUUUAUUCGUAACAUAAACAUCAUCUACAAGCAAAUCCACAUUCUGUUUUCUAUAUUAAGGCCUUUCAUACUUGUGAUUUAAAAUGCAUGCAUUCAUUUUUUUUCAUUAGGUUUCAAAUAAUCGUUUCAAUUAUUUCCAUGUUUUCAGGUAUCACUCUUCACUAUAUUAAAAGAUAAUAUCGCUUUUAUUAUUUUAAAGACAUAUAUUAUACAUUCUCUGAGGAUUUUCCAGAAAUUUCCUCUGUAAUACCUCUGGUUGGAAAGGUGAGGGACAGAGACUUUACUGGGAGUCACAGGAAAAGUCUGCUCAGUCUCCUGCUUAAAAAGAGCUCUGAAUGUUUUUAUUGCACAGAUGAAUUUUCUCUGAUUGUCAGAUGUUCACAAAGGCUUUAACUUGUAUGAAUGAACUCCGAGACCACCUUUCUGAAUGCACAGACCUGCCACGUUGUUGCUGUGUAAGCAUGAAUUUCAUCAUAUUGUCAGCUUUUCAUCUUACCCAAAAGCUAUAAACAUUGGCUAAAGUCCUCAAUUGCUUGCUCCUCAUUUUUGUAAAUGUGUGCAUGGCAUUUCCUUGAACAGAUGGCUCAUAAAACAGAUAUAAAUUCUCUUUGAUGAGUAAAUACGAAAAUUGUUUUCAGUUAAAUAAAAAAUGCCACUCAGAAAAUUGGCAAAUGCGUCUCCAGGCAGCAAAUAUUUUUAGAUUACGGUCUUGUAGAAAUAUAAUUACAAUAAGUACUUAUUUUGUUUUAUCACAUAGCAUGUUUCAAAGAGGUUUUCAUGCAUGUUUCUUUUUCGGAUUACCAUUUUUAUUGACAAUAAGUUGCCCAUCUUUCUAUUUCUGAUCUGAUCUUUUGAUGUCUGUUGUUUUUGUCUGAAGCUCUGACUCUCUUCUAAUGUACUUUGCAUAUGAAGAGAAAGCUGGUUAUCCUGACUAGUAAAGAAGGGAUUAUUGAACCUGAAACUGUGAAGAGACACAAAAGCAACAAGAGGACAGAAACAAUUCAGGGCUUCAAUAAGCAGAGUACAAUCUAUUUAGUGACUGCAAUGUGGAAAUCUCUAAUGUCAGCAAGACUGUGUUGAGAGGAACACAUUUUCUUGUGAGUGAGCAUUCCUAGAGGAUGAGUAUCUUAGAGACUCAACGGCAUAUGUCUGCUAUGCAAGUAAUGAGUCCUCCAUCUAAUGGUGUACAAACUAUUCUGGAAGGAUCUGUUCAGGAUUUAUGAGGUGUUAGCAACCUACAGAGCAAGAACACUGAUACUUUUUGGUUACUCCAAAUUAUUAUUUAUAAAAUAUUAUUAUAACUUGGUGUUUGUUUUGCCAGGUAAGACUUCAGUCAGGGGCUCUGAGGUCGGUACUGUAUCCAGGGAAUUUAAAGUCCAGAUCUUAGUUUAAAAAAAAUGGCCUGUCAUCUUCACUCUAUUAUUGAAUUAGAGCCUGACAUCAUUAAUUUUAAUUUUACUGAAUAUAAAUAGCAACCCUAUAUUCUAUGCAUACUGUUUUGACUGUGGCAUUUAUUUAGAGAAGAAUGGAGACAAGAUGAUUCCAACUUAAAGGAAACUGGAAGUAUUCUGAGGAAACAAAUAGAGAAGUUCUGUGACCCAUGUUUUGGUGAAGUAAUGAUGACACAGGGAUACCCUGCCUCAUGAACGCUGGUGUGACUUCUCUCUUCUGUUCUUACCACUGGACAUGAUGGCUUGAUGAAGUCAGGCCACCUCGCUCUUCUAUGCUCUCAGUUCCAUCUUCUCAACUCGGAAAGCCUGCCAAGGUCCUUACAACAUCACAGCUGGGAAACUCUCAAAGCAGUAAACUUGGGCAAUAGUAGGCUUCACUCACAUCAUUGUUGUGUAUUUCCAGGUAUCAUUGUUCUCCAUCAUUUGGUGUACAGUACUUUAAAAAAGUUUCAUAUUCUUUGUCCAUUUUUUUAUUUAUGUGUGAUAAGGCA
rnacentral:lncRNA from 1 species